AACGAACGCUGGCGGCAGGCUUAACACAUGCAAGUCGAGCGCCCCGCAAGGGGAGCGGCAGACGGGUGAGUAACGCGUGGGAAUCUACCCAUCUCUACGGAAUAACGCAUGGAAACGUGUGCUAAUACCGUAUACGUCCUUCGGGAGAAAGAUUUAUCGGAGAUGGAUGAGCCCGCGUUGGAUUAGCUAGUUGGUGGGGUAAAGGCCUACCAAGGCGACGAUCCAUAGCUGGUCUGAGAGGAUGAUCAGCCACACUGGGACUGAGACACGGCCCAGACUCCUACGGGAGGCAGCAGUGGGGAAUAUUGGACAAUGGGCGCAAGCCUGAUCCAGCCAUGCCGCGUGAGUGAUGAAGGCCCUAGGGUUGUAAGCUCUUUCACCGGUGAAGAUAAUAACGGUAACCGGAGAAGAAGCCCCGGCUAACUUCGUGCCAGCAGCCGCGGUAACAC
rnacentral:rRNA from 1 species